UCGAACGAAGCACUGUAAACGGAGAUUCGUCGAAGUUUACUUUGACUUAGUGGCGGACGGGUGAGUAAUGUAUGAGCAACCUGCCUUUCAGUGGGGGACAACAGUUGGAAACGACUGCUAAUACCGCAUGAUGUCAAUUGGGGGCAUCCCCGAAUGACCAAAGGAUUUAUUCGCUGAAAGAUGGGCUCAUAUCUGAUUAGCUAGUUGGUGAGGUAACGGCUCACCAAGGCUGCGAUCAGUAGCCGGACUGAGAGGUUGAACGGCCACAUUGGGACUGAGAUACGGCCCAGACUCCUACGGGAGGCAGCAGUGGGGAAUAUUGGGCAAUGG
rnacentral:rRNA from 1 species